UACGGAGGGGGCGAGCGUUGUUCGGAAUUACUGGGCGUAAAGGGCGCGUAGGCGGCCUGUUGCGUCGGGUGUGAAAGCCCUGGGCUCAACCUGGGAGGUGCACUCGAAACGGGCAGGCUCGAAACCGAGAGAGGAUCGUGGAAUUCCCAGUGUAGAGGUGAAAUUCGUAGAUAUCGGGAGGAACACCAGUGGCGAAGGCGACUACCUGGCCUGUUCUUGACGCUGAGGCGCGAAAGCUAGGGGAGCAAACGGG
rnacentral:rRNA from 1 species